UAUUCUAUUAUACUUCAAGUUAUGGCACGGACACCUUUAACAAUGCCAGCAUUUAUCACACUGGAUUUCAAAGCAAUAUUACUGGAAUAAGCCAAAACUGCACCAGACUAUCAUGGAGUCAGGAUAAUGAUGCCUCAGAAUGUCAUGAGUAUACUGGAACUGCUUGUAGAGACUUUUUACAUCAAUGGUUUCAAUGUACCAUUGGAGAAGGUGAAUUGAAUAUUGGAGUAAGUCAACAAGAACAAAAUCAACAUGAACAGACAAUUGGAUCACUCAGUCCUUAUUUAGAACACUACAAACAAUGUCAACAACAAUCAUCAGCUUUCAUAUGUCAAUAUUUCUUUCCUCUUGCUGACUGCUCAACUGGAAAAUCUUACAAGGCUACCAAGGAAGACUGCCUCCUCAUAAGUACAGGUGUUUGUUCAGACCUGUGGACACUAGCAAACAGCUUUAGCUAUGGCUCACUCUUACCUGAUUGUUCUACACUACCAAAUGCUGCCAAUGACUCAUCUUCUGUCACACUUUCAAUUGAAGGCAUAAAUGAUACCAAUGGUA